rnacentral:lncRNA from 1 species
GGUGAUCAAUGUUUAAUUACUUUCUUUAUUUUCCUCUUCAUAACAUUUUUGUAAGUCACUAAGUAAUUAAAAAUGCAUACUUUUCUCCAAAACAAUUUAAGGUGUUUUUGUUUCUUAUCAAGUUUCCAUUAUACCCGUAUCUCUGUUUCAUCGAUUCUCAUUCCUUUUCUGGUACUCUGUUUGGCCUUGGAAAAAGUAAUCACAAUUGUAAGACCAAAAUACAAGGGUUCCCAAUUGUCUUCAAUUUAAAUCUCCUAACUGUCCAAUAUAUUUUAAUUUAUUUAUAAAAUCAAAAUCUAAAUUAAAAUCUACUUUAUUUUUUAUUAUUUGAUCUCAAUCAAACGUGCACAAUAUUGCUAACUGCAGCAAAUACUUUUAAAAAAUGAUUGAAGUAAAUUCAAAUUCAAAGAUAAGUAAUUUCUUUGAUCAUAAAAUAAUUAACUUAUUUGUAAAAAGUAUUUGUCUUAAAAUAAUUAAUUUUUUAUUUUAUUUUUAAUAUACUUCUUUUUAAUUGUUUCAUUUGAUUGAUAUUACUUGUACUAUUUUUAUUACAAUAUUUUUUAUUAUGUAUUUAUAACAUUAAUAAUACUUCAAUAUUUAAUAAAGAUAAUUUAAUAAAAGUAGUAUUAUUUCUCAUUCAUUUGUAUAUUUUUUUUAAUAUGUGUUAAAUGAUCAAAUAACUUAAUUAUUUUGAGAGGGAUAAUACUACACUUAAUUAAUUGCAUCAUAUUUAAUGUUAUUAUAGACAAAAUAUCUUCAAAAAUAUUUUCUUGCAACAUUAAAUGAAAAAUAGAGUUAAUGUAGGAUAUAUAGAUAUUCUUUAAGAAAUGCUAACAAGUGAAAUGGUCAAUUGGGACAAUAAAAGAAAUAAUAUUAAAUAUAUUUUUAAAUAAUAAAAACAAUUAUAUUAAUUAAUAUAAAAAUUUAAUUUAUUAAAUAAAUAAGUGAUACUACCUUGUGACACAAUUAUAUGCAAAACUUAUGAAUUAUUAUUAAAUGCACAACUUAAUAAUUAAUAUUUAAAAAUAUAUUUAUUUCUCCUUUCGUCUUAAAAUAAUUGUUGCAUUUGAUCAUUUUACAAAAUUGAAAAAAAUAUAAUAAAUAAAAUAUUUAGUUGCAGUUUUCGUCCACCUAUUUUUAUCAGUUCACAAAAUUAAUCCUCCUAUUAUAAAAUCCAUUAUUUUUUAUCAUUUAUUAUGAUUUUGUAAUUAAAAAAUGACUAUUUAACGUGUUUUAUAUAAUGAUGUGAAAUGACUAAAACCCAUAAAUUUAUUAUAAAACCAUUAAAAAACUUUAGUUUCAACUUCAAAGAAAUUAUUUAGUUUUGCAAUUUAAUUAAUGACAUACGACUAAUUAAUAAAUUUUGAUCAUUAAAUUGUAUAUCACGUCAUUUAAAACAUGUCAUAUCAUAAUUUUUUAGUUUAAAAAUCUGAGAAAGAGAUCGAAAAUGUCAGAUUUUAAAAUAAGAGGAUCAAUUUUAGGAAUAAAUAAAAAUAGAGAGACCAAAUUUAUAAUUACAUUUAAAUAAAACAAAAAGAAUAAAUAUUGUACUAAAUUGUACUUAUUGAUAAUUGAUGUAUUCUAUUUAUUAUAAAUAUAGAUAAAUUAUAAUAAUAAUUUGAAAAUAAUGCACAUAAUGUUAAUUAAAAAAUACAACUGAAACUAAAAUAAAAUCAAAAUUACAUUACAAUCUAAAAGUGAUAUUAAUUUUUGGUAAAUGUUACAGUUAUCACGGGACAUACUGGUAAUAAUUUUCAUAAAAUAGAUUAUCAAUGGGCCACCCAAGCUUUCGUAGCCUUUUAGUGUUGGUCUCUCGCACUAUUGGACACUUAAGAAAAUGAUUUUUUUUCUUCCGCAACACUUAGAAAGUUUAUUUUAACUAAAAAAAGUAUUCAUUAAUUUAAAUUCAUAAAAUAUAUCAAAUACAUAAAAUAAAAUAAAAUAAAAAUAAUACAAAUUCAAUGUCUUAAAAAAAAGUAUGAAUAUAUGAACAAAUUUACAAGACUUAAGUUAAAGGCAUAAAACAACGAAAUUGUUAUAAGAGUAGCAAAAUCAAAGUGAGUGGAACAUACAUAUUUUUUUAUUUGUAAGUUGAAAAUCAAGUCAUUUACUAAAUAUAUAAUGGAUUAAAAUUGAUUUCUUUAUCUAAAUAACGAACACUAUGAUAAUAUGAAAAAUCAAAUAAUACACACAAAGAUAACAAACAAUACAUAAUCAUACUUAAACAUUGAAACAAUAGAGAAAAAAAUAGAUCUAUAUAAAAAUCACUUAUUUAAAUUAAAUAAAAAAUUUAUGUAAAUGAAUGAUUCCAAACUAAAACAUAUCUCAAAACUAUCCCGUCUUCGUUGAACGGAAAUUAAGAAAGAAAAAAGUAAAGAGAGAAUUAACAGAAUAAAUUGAUCAUAAUAUAUGAUAUUAACUUUAAAAUCUGCUAUUAAAAAAAAUGAAUUUAUCUGGAGGUUUAAAAGUGAAAAUAAAUUGAACGUUGCACCUACAACCCAAUUAUAACAUAAAAUAUUUAAUUUGAAGCUGAUUGAAUCAUUCAUUUAAUUAUGUGCUCUUAACACGAAAUUGUAUCGUAGCAGAUAGGAACUUACCAAAGCUAUGCAUCUCAGCCCUCAUCUCUUCAAAUUCCGGACUCAACUUACAGGUAACUUAAUACUUGAUUGAAAUCACACAUGAUUAUGAAGUAUACAUCUCACCAUAAAAAAAC